rnacentral:rRNA from 1 species
UACGGGGGGGGCAAGCGUUGUUCGGAAUUACUGGGCGUAAAGGGCUCGUAGGUGGCCAACUAAGUCAGACGUGAAAUCCCUCGGCUUAACCGGGGAACUGCGUCUGAUACUGGAUGGCUCGAGUUUGGGAGAGGGAUGCGGAAUUCCAGGUGUAGCGGUGAAAUGCGUAGAUAUCUGGAGGAACACCGGUGGCGAAGGCGGCAUCCUUGACCGAAACUGACGCUGAGGAGCGAAAGCCAGGGGAGCAAACGGG